AGGGCGCACGGUGGAUGCCUUGGCACUAGAAGCCGAUGAAGGACGUUACUAACGACGAUAUGCUUUGGGGAGCUGUAAGUAAGCUUUGAUCCAGAGAUUUCCGAAUGGGGAAACCCAGCAUGAGUUAUGUCAUGUUAUCGAUAUGUGAAUACAUAGCAUAUCAGAAGGCACACCCGGAGAACUGAAACAUCUUAGUACCCGGAGGAAGAGAAAGAAAAUUCGAUUCCCUUAGUAGCGGCGAGCGAAACGGGAAGAGCCCAAACCAACAAGCUUGCUUGUUGGGGUUGUAGGACACUCUGUACGGAGUUACAAAGGACGACAUUAGACGAAUCAUCUGGAAAGAUGAAUCAAAGAAGGUAAUAAUCCUGUAGUCGAAAAUGUUGUCUCUCUUGAGUGGAUCCUGAGUACGACGGAGCACGUGAAAUUCCGUCGGAAUCUGGGAGGACCAUCUCCUAAGGCUAAAUACUCUCUAGUGACCGAUAGUGAACCAGUACCGUGAGGGAAAGGUGAAAAGCACCCCGGAAGGGGAGUGAAAUAGAACCUGAAACCGUGUGCUUACAAGUAGUCAGAGCCCGUUAAUGGGUGAUGGCGUGCCUUUUGUAGAAUGAACCGGCGAGUUACGAUUUGAUGCAAGGUUAAGCAGUAAAUGUGGAGCCGUAGCGAAAGCGAGUCUGAAUAGGGCGUUUAGUAUUUGGUCGUAGACCCGAAACCAGGUGAUCUACCCUUGGUCAGGUUGAAGUUCAGGUAACACUGAAUGGAGGACCGAACCGACUUACGUUGAAAAGUGAGCGGAUGAACUGAGGGUAGCGGAGAAAUUCCAAUCGAACCUGGAGAUAGCUGGUUCUCUCCGAAAUAGCUUUAGGGCUAGCCUCAAGUGAUGAUUAUUGGAGGUAGAGCACUGUUUGGACGAGGGGCCCCUCUCGGGUUACCGAAUUCAGACAAACUCCGAAUGCCAAUUAAUUUAACUUGGGAGUCAGAACAUGGGUGAUAAGGUCCGUGUUCGAAAGGGAAACAGCCCAGACCACCAGCUAAGGUCCCAAAAUAUAUGUUAAGUGGAAAAGGAUGUGGCGUUGCCCAGACAACUAGGAUGUUGGCUUAGAAGCAGCCAUCAUUUAAAGAGUGCGUAAUAGCUCACUAGUCGAGUGACACUGCGCCGAAAAUGUACCGGGGCUAAACAUAUUACCGAAGCUGUGGAUUGUCCUUUGGACAAUGGUAGGAGAGCGUUCUAAGGGCGUUGAAGCAUGAUCGUAAGGACAUGUGGAGCGCUUAGAAGUGAGAAUGCCGGUGUGAGUAGCGAAAGACGGGUGAGAAUCCCGUCCACCGAUUGACUAAGGUUUCCAGAGGAAGGCUCGUCCGCUCUGGGUUAGUCGGGUCCUAAGCUGAGGCCGACAGGCGUAGGCGAUGGAUAACAGGUUGAUAUUCCUGUACCACCUAUAAUCGUUUUAAUCGAUGGGGGGACGCAGUAGGAUAGGCGAAGCGUGCGAUUGGAUUGCACGUCUAAGCAGUAAGGCUGAGUAUUAGGCAAAUCCGGUACUCGUUAAGGCUGAGCUGUGAUGGGGAGAAGACAUUGUGUCUUCGAGUCGUUGAUUUCACACUGCCGAGAAAAGCCUCUAGAUAGAAAAUAGGUGCCCGUACCGCAAACCGACACAGGUAGUCAAGAUGAGAAUUCUAAGGUGAGCGAGCGAACUCUCGUUAAGGAACUCGGCAAAAUGACCCCGUAACUUCGGGAGAAGGGGUGCUCUUUAGGGUUAACGCCCAGAAGAGCCGCAGUGAAUAGGCCCAAGCGACUGUUUAUCAAAAACACAGGUCUCUGCUAAACCGUAAGGUGAUGUAUAGGGGCUGACGCCUGCCCGGUGCUGGAAGGUUAAGAGGAGUGGUUAGCUUCUGCGAAGCUACGAAUCGAAGCCCCAGUAAACGGCGGCCGUAACUAUAACGGUCCUAAGGUAGCGAAAUUCCUUGUCGGGUAAGUUCCGACCCGCACGAAAGGCGUAACGAUUUGGGCACUGUCUCAACGAGAGACUCGGUGAAAUCAUAGUACCUGUGAAGAUGCAGGUUACCCGCGACAGGACGGAAAGACCCCGUGGAGCUUUACUGUAGCCUGAUAUUGAAAUUCGGCACAGCUUGUACAGGAUAGGUAGGAGCCUUUGAAACGUGAGCGCUAGCUUACGUGGAGGCGCUGGUGGGAUACUACCCUAGCUGUGUUGGCUUUCUAACCCGCACCACUUAUCGUGGUGGGAGACAGUGUCAGGCGGGCAGUUUGACUGGGGCGGUCGCCUCCUAAAAGGUAACGGAGGCGCUCAAAGGUUCCCUCAGAAUGGUUGGAAAUCAUUCAUAGAGUGUAAAGGCAUAAGGGAGCUUGACUGCGAGACCUACAAGUCGAGCAGGGUCGAAAGACGGACUUAGUGAUCCGGUGGUUCCGCAUGGAAGGGCCAUCGCUCAACGGAUAAAAGCUACCCCGGGGAUAACAGGCUUAUCUCCCCCAAGAGUUCACAUCGACGGGGAGGUUUGGCACCUCGAUGUCGGCUCAUCGCAUCCUGGGGCUGUAGUCGGUCCCAAGGGUUGGGCUGUUCGCCCAUUAAAGCGGUACGCGAGCUGGGUUCAGAACGUCGUGAGACAGUUCGGUCCCUAUCCGUCGUGGGCGUAGGAAAUUUGAGAGGAGCUGUCCUUAGUACGAGAGGACCGGGAUGGACAUACCUCUGGUGUACCAGUUGUCGUGCCAACGGCAUAGCUGGGUAGCUAUGUGUGGACGGGAUAAGUGCUGAAAGCAUCUAAGCAUGAAGCCCCCCUCAAGAUGAGAUUUCCCAACUUCGGUUAUAAGAUCCCUCAAAGAUGAUGAGGUUAAUAGGUUCGAGGUGGAAGCAUGGUGACAUGUGGAGCUGACGAAUACUAAUCGAUCGAAGACUUAAUC
rnacentral:rRNA from 1 species